AGUAGGGGGCUUUCGCGCUGUCCGCUCAUUGUAUUAAACUGUAGCAUGAGAGAAGCUACUGGAAAUCCCUCGCGAGUCUUUCCUCAUAUUUUCAGUACAAAUGCUUCCCGGCUGAGGAGGUGGGCCACCAUUAACUCCUCAAAGUCUUGCUGCAAGGGCUUGUCCUUCAGGUGGUCGAACAGCUGUGGAGCGGCAAAGUUCUCCGAUGCAAACAGACACCCGGGCCAGGCAAGACAAACCACGGCGCCACCGAGAUCAAACAGGAAGUUAAAGGUGACUGCUGGGUAGGAAACAGGCAGAAUGGAACAAUUAAAUGCAA